GCACCUGAUUUCUUCUGAGAAUAUAAAUAUAUAUUUUAACACAUCCAGAACUAAAUGCUUCUUGAGUUAUUUUCUUUGGUCAGUGGUUUACUGUCAGAAUGUUCUCAAUUAGCCAAUUAAAAUAUCCAGAAAUUCACCAGGGAUCCAACUGUGGGCACUUGUUUUUUUACAGUCUGGUAGGACUUGAUUUAGUAUUUCAUUCUAAUUCUUUAUUACUCACCUAUUGUGGUGAAUGUGUUAGUUCUUAAACACAAGCUAAAAUAUGCUUUGACUGUCCUUUAGUUUAAGGGCACCACUAUGAAUUUUUUUAUUUGAUUAGACAUUUAUCUCUCUUCAGGCUUCUUAAUCAUAUAUGGGGGAUUGUAUCGGUGUCAUGAUGCACAAAAUUCAUUUAUUAGUAGAUGGUAAGAGUCACGUCUUUCUUAAACAGAACUCAAAAAGGUUUAUUUUCGGCUAUAAUCGGGUUGUGACCAUUUCUGAUGUUUUAUCUCAUGUGCAAAGCAAGGCAUUCCUACAUAGACCUGUACAAGAAAACGUCAAAGAGAUUGAAAUCUUUUUUAAUGGCUUCAUUGACCCCCAGUUUGAUUAUUUUAUUAUUUAAGCUCAGCACCUUUGUUUUCCAAGAUAAUGUUAAAGUUCUGAAUUUUGUUUUAUAAAUGAUUUAUUGAUGCUUGUCCAUUUUAUUGGAAAGGGCCUAUACCCUGCCUGUUCUGAAGUCAUAUGUACACUUAAACAGACUCCAACUUGCGAGGUUAACGUCGACAAAGCUCCCUUAUGAUCUUAUGUUUCUAUUUUAAACCGUUCACUUACCGCUAUUUAAGAAUCUUCAGCAACAAAAUAAAACAACCAAUGACUAUAAAUUAGACUGACCUAUGUUUGACACGUCAAAUAUUCUCAUUAGAACAUAGGUCAUCAUAAACAAUCAGGAUUAAACACUCCAUACUAGAAAGGGGAACGUUGUUGUUUUUUUCUACUUGCUUCCUAGCUUAAAAUAUUUCUAUAAGACUUGAUGGCAAAGUUAUUCCCCAUGUAGUUUGAUUUUGUUUUAAAACUUAAUAUAUAUAUAUAUAAUAUAUAUGACUGUAAUGUCAUUUUUAUAUGUAAUAUUGACAUAUUUUCAUGUUCAUUUUUAAAACUAUUUUUUCAUGUGUUAAGUGUACAUUUAUUGAAGUUGAAGUAUUGGAGUACAUUUGCCAACCAAAUGAUAAGAGGUGUAAGAAAUACAAUGAAUUCCUGUUUGUUGAUCCUGUGUGCUAGUUUCUAGCCUUCAAGUCCGUCACGAAACACACUUGGUUAUUUGUCUUCUGUUUUCUUUCCAUUGUGUGUUGAUGUUUUAAAAAUGAUAUCAGCUAAAUAGGGUUUUAACAGUAACUUAAUUGCAGCAUGCUUAUGAACAUGUAGUCAGUGCAGUCGAAGGGGAUUAAUUAACUUGUUUGCAGCUGUAGUUUAAAUUGUUAGCUCCCUUUGAUAUGGCUGCAAACAGACAUGAAAAGGAUAAAAAUUUAACACUAAAGAUAGCUUGGUCAAUGUAACCUUUGGCAGAUAGCCAGAUCCAGUGCUGCCUUUAUCUAGGUAGUGAGAUUGUUUCUUUAUCUAGGUAGUGAGACUCAGUGUUGCCUUUAUCUAGCUAGUGAGACUGUUGGCUUUUUCUAGUGAGACUCAAUGUUUACUUUAUCUAGCUAGUGAGACUGUUGGCUUUAUCUAGUGAGAAUCAGCAUUGCCUUUAUCUAGCUAGUGAGACUGUUUUGGCUUUUCUAGUGACACUCAAUGUUACCUUUAUCUAGCUAGUGAGACUGUUGGCUUUAUCUAGUGAGAAUCAGUGUUGCCUUUAUCUAGGUAGUGAGACUCAGUGUUGCCUUUAUCAAGGUAGUUAGACUCAGUGUUGCCUUUAUCUAGGUAGUGAGACUCAGUGUUGCCUUUUGUUUGGUUGUGAGUUGUAGUGUUGCCUUAAGCUUGAUCCUAAAACCUGUUGUUGCCUAAAAGUGUAGCCAAUGUCUUUAUAUUCACCUGCAACUAGACCUGUUCUAUUCCAAUUUGUUCAGCUCUUGUCUUUGUUACAUCAGCAUUGAAAUUAACCUAUGCAAAUACGAAAUGACGUUUACAUGUUAAAACUUCUUGUUAAUUCUGAUAACUUCCAAACAAAAUGUAUGCCUUAAGUUGUUGUAUAUUUAAAUGUUUUUUUUAAUAACAAAUUUACUUAAAAUGAACUUUACUCAUAAUGAACUAUCUCAGUACCACAUAUACAUUGUAUUCUUAAUAUAUCUUGUAUGUGCACCCAUAAGAUUUGUAUGGUUUCUUGAUUCGGUUAGCCUUGUGAACCUAUUGCUUAUGUUUUAUUAUUGAAUGUGAAAUAAAGAAAGAAAUCAGAAGAAUUAUUCACUGUACAUUUGAUCAUGUAGCUGUUUGAGACUUUGAACACUUGAAGACAAACCAAAUAAACUGAUUUAUUUACUGUG
rnacentral:sRNA from 1 species